GGAGUUGUAGCUCAGUGGUAGGGCACUUACCUGGCAAGUAAGUGUGAGGCACUGGCUUCGAGCCUAGCACCA
rnacentral:tRNA from 1 species